GGGGAAUUUUGGACAAUGGGCGCAAGCCUGAUCCAGCAAUGCCGCGUGCAGGAAGAAGGCCUUCGGGUUGUAAACUGCUUUUGUACGGAGCGAAAAGGUCUUCCCUAAUACGGGAGGCUGAUGACGGUACCGUAAGAAUAAGCACCGGCUAACUACGUGCCAGCAGCCGCGGUAAUACGUAGGGUGCGAGCGUUAAUCGGAAUUACUGGGCGUAAAGCGUGCGCAGGCGGUUUUGUAAGACAGGCGUGAAAUCCCCGGGCUCAACCUGGGAAUGGCGCUUGUGACUGCAAAGCUGGAGUGCGGCAGAGGGGGAUGGAAUUCCGCGUGUAGCAGUGAAAUGCGUAGAUAUGCGGAGGAACACCGAUGGCGAAGGCAAUCCCCUGGGCCUGCACUGACGCUCAUGCACGAAAGCGUGGGGAGCAAAC
rnacentral:rRNA from 1 species